rnacentral:lncRNA from 1 species
AAAGAGCAGCCUUUCCUUCAACGAUUACCGGCAGAAGAACUCUGGGUGGACGAUGUACGAAUAUGAGAUGUGUUCUUCCGACUUAUUUGACAUUUGUUUUGAUGGUGGUGCCGUCGGAGAUGGCCUGAUGCAAGAUCUUCAUAGAACUCGUCUCUCGAAACCGGAAGAACACAUCUCAUCUCGUCCAUCGUCCACCUUCUUUCGCCGGCCGUCGUUAAAAGAAAGUCAGCUCUUUCGUCCCACCCACGACCUCGCACCAGCCGACGGUUUUCUCGCCGAUUUCUUGCUUUUUUACAGAGUGGAAGAACCCAUUCGUAACCAUAGGGUUUGAAAAACCUAAGAGGCUCGGUUCUUCCGGGCCGAGAUGGGCUGCCUGGAUGGACUCGACCCAAAGUUCUUGCUUUUUGAACGUGGACUCAACCGUUUUGAUAGAACCGGUUCCGACCUUUCGAUCCAUGCGCGAGCCGUCGCUAUUCUCGGAUCCCUCUUGCCGAUCGCUGCCAAGAAGAUUCCACGGCUCGGUGCCGUAGAUGUUGGCGACGGCGAAAGCGCGGCCAGGGCAGGAGGGAUACUUCUUUGCGGACGGCUCGCGCGUGGAUCGAAAGGCCGGCACCGGUUCUUAGACUCUGGAUAAAAAGCAAGAACUAGUCGGGAGAUGGUGGUGAGGUGAAAGAGCAGCCUUUCCUUCAACGACUACCGACAGAAGAACUCCGGGUGGACGAUGUACGAAUACGAGAUGUGUUCUUCCGGCUUAUUUGACAUUUGUUUUGACGGUGGUCUAUAAGGUGGACUCAACUGUUUUGAUGGUGGUGCCGUCGGAGAUAGCCUGAUGCAAGAUCUUCAGAGAACUCGUCUCUUGAAGCCGGAAGAACACAUCUCGUCUCGUCCAUCGUCCACCCUCUUUCACCGGCC